GAAACUUUCACUCAUCUUGGUUUUUCUUCGGUUUCAGACUCAAAAGUUUCUAUUUGUACUGAGCUCUGUCGGCUAUCCCCUAUCCGAAAGGGCAAGGGAUGGUCUCCCUCUCCUUGCCCGGACAUAUGUUAUCCCCUCUCCACCUUUAGGUUUGGAUAUCUUAUUAUACUUUAUUCUUCGGUGCUCUCCAAGGGGAAAUUUUUUGGAUGUUGGUAAUCAAGGGUAUCUCGCCAGCUCUACCUCUCAUGACCAACCCCAAAGGAUGCUUCUGCCAUCUAGAGCUCUGCCUCAUCUCCCUUUGAAAGCGGUUGUCUUGCAUGCGAUCGUUCUACGGAUUACACGAUUUUAGUCUGCGAUGCUCACUAUUUUUGUUUCUUCUUUCGAGUUGCUUGAUCUUAUUGUGGUUGGGAUAAACAACUGGAUGAGUUUUCUGCUAAGACCUUUUUAAGUCUCAUUGUCGUUUCUUGUCCACCGAAUGAUAGAGCUCGUCCCUGUAAAUCUCAUUGUCCCCCAUUUCUUCCCAGCGUCGUUGUAUCAAGGUUUAAAAUCUAUGCCCAUAUUUCUGAGUGACUUGAUUCCCUUAGGUCUCUUUCUUAUGAAUUGUGAACUGCAUUAUUUUGAGCUUAAUGUUUUUUUUUAAAUUAAUGAAUUAU
rnacentral:misc_RNA from 1 species